ensembl:lncRNA
GGCUCAUGACCUGAUGAGAACUGCUGGUGGGUGAUGGCAGUUUAAGUGAUCCCUACAGUUCUGCUCAGUUGCACUGCUCUGCUUAAUACAUGCCCUUUAAGGAACUUGAUUGCAGCAGCUGCGCAGUCACUGACAUUCUGUUUUUUUGAUGUCCUCUGUCCGUUCGUUCUUCUGUCUCGAUGAAGUGAAUUUGUAGAUCCCAAGCUUCAUCCAGCUAAAUAACGCAAAACCUGGGCAUCAUUCAUCAUUCCCAAACUUCAUUUUCUGCACCAGCUCAUACCACUCCAGACAGCAAGAACUUUGACACCAGCUUUCUUGAUGGAGAGGUGCUCCAGCCCUCUGAUCAUCUUAGUGGCCCUCCUCUGGACUCAUUGCAAGAGCUCUACAUCUUCCUCAUGCUGGGGGCCCCAGGCCUGGACGCAGUACUCCAGAUGGGUCCUCACAGGAGCUGAGUAGAGGGACACAAUCA